rnacentral:lncRNA from 10 species
AGUUUUAUAAGGAGCCUCCCCCUUUCCUGAGCACUCAUUCUCCUUCCUGCUGCCCUGUGAAGAAGGACGUGUUUGCUUCCCCCUCCACAAUGAUUGUAAGUUUCCUGAGGCCUCCUCAGCCAUGCUGAAUUGUGAGUCAAUUAAACCUCUUUCUUUUAUAAAUUACCCAGUCUCAGGUAUACCUUUACUAGCAGAAUGAGAACUAACACAAUAGCAAAUAUAUCAGAUAUUCAGGCAAUUAUCAUGUUUUUGUGGAAUAAACUAAUUGCUGCUGUAAAACACUGUUUCCCACACUGUCCGGCACACAUCUGUAAAUUCCAAGAGGAAUGAGGGUGAGCAGGUUACCAGUUCAACACUUUUGGGAAGGAAUGGAGAUUGGCCAACUGGAAUUCAGCUUAUUAUUCAUGGUGGAAUAGAAUUUGAGCUUCUUAUUGCAAAUACUCUUGCAUGUUUCAGUGCUUACCUGUGUACUUAACCCAACUUGGAUCUCAAUUUGUAAUAUGCCCUUGUUUACUACUGGCUGUGAACUGGAGGAAAUGAAAAAUAAAGACAAUAUGCACACCUCGAAUAUUUACUGAAUACCUGCUAAAUGCCAAGUAGUGUGUUUGGUGCUGAAAAUUGUCCACGGGAAUUUUAUAUUACUUAAAGAAUUCAGUAAGGUAUACUUUUUCCAUCACCAUCAACUAUUUGACUUGUAAGUGGAGAUUUCAUUCCAAAUAGCUUUUCAACUUCCCUUCACUAAGCUUCAGUCAUCAAGCUUGGUGGUCUUCUUAUUCCCAGCCAACAUUUCAUACAGUGUUUACUGAAACCACCUUCUGAAGUAGCUCGCCUUUAGAAUGCUUAUGCUUCUGUCCCUUUAAAUAGACUAUUGUUUUUGCCUGGAAUACCCUUCUCCUGCCUCUCUGACCAUGAAAAGCCUACAAAUCUUUGUAGACCCAUCUCAAGUAUGAGGAGGCAGGGAGAGACACUGAUAUCCCUUAAGGGUGUGGUAAGAAAUUUCACAGGCAAAGACUAAAAUGAAUACAGAGUUGCAAAGAUUGGAACUGGGAAGCCCCUUAGGAAUCUAUAUUUUUAAAUAUGCCUUUCAAAUAUUGUGAUCUGUUUCUCAUCUGCUUUCUGUCUGCCUCUCUUCUGAUUCUUCUUUUAGCUGACCAACCACCUCUGAUUGCACAGUGUCCAACAUAAACAAUAGCCUCAUGGCUUUAUCAUCUUCAAGGCUCAGUGAUCACCAUUAAUGAUUACAUUCUCUGUGUUGUUUAACUAAUGUUUAAGGGAGAUUCUAAUGUGUUCCUGGUCUAUAAUGGCUCCAGCCUGGACCAGUGUCUCACCCUGGAUGAAUUGCCUAUGUCUGGGAAACUGGGUUCCAUGGUACUAGCCAGCUAAAGCUGUCAUUUCAGUGAGACCACAGACAGGUUCACGGAGGAAGAUUUUGUGAGCAACGCAGAAAACAGUCUGUUGUGUAACUUACCACACUUAUGUUGAUUUUGGAUGGUUAGUUCACUUAUUUACUAUCUUUACCCUAGGUUAGACCAUAAAGGCCACAAAGUUGAGGGCAUAUCCCUUAUGGCUUUUGGCAUGAAAUGUUAUUGGUGUUUUGGUCUACAACUAAAGAGACAUUGUGCCUCUAUCAAUACAAUUCUUAUUAAAAUGUAUAAAUGGUUCUAUCAAUAUAAUUCUUUUUAAAAUGUAUAAAUGGUACAGAUAGGCAAGAGUGUAAAGGACAAGCAAGCCAGCUCUGAGCCAGAACUGCUUUUAUUCUGAAUUAGUUGUUCUGGAGUCAGGUAAAAAUCUUUCCUGAAUCCCUAAGACAAUCACUUUCCACCACUUGGAUAACACUAAGAAGGUUUUAGACCACAAGGGAAUAGGCAAACAAAACCCUCUGUUGGCAAGAGUUUGAGAAAAUGGAAAUUUAUAUACACCUUUGUAGAAACUGUAAAUUGGUACUGUCUUCCUGGAGAAAUGGGUGUCUGUAGUUGAUAAUAAUAUACUGUGUACUUGAAAAACUGCUAAGGAUGUAGAUGUUAAAUGUUCUCACAACAAAAGUAAGUAUAU